rnacentral:lncRNA from 1 species
CCACCUAGACCUAGCCACCGUCACUCCUACCAACAGGCACCACCCCAUCCUCUAGGCCGAUCCGGUCGUGCCACUGCCCCUCCACCUCUGGUGGCGUCUCCUGAAGCUCCCAUACAUUCGCGCUUCCUCACCGUCUGCAGCCUGAAUCUGCCCGGCUGUCCGCUCACCUAGCGACGGCUGCCUCCCACUGGUUCCUGGCGCCGCUCCUAACAUGUCGAUUGAUUUGGUCGCGCCACUACGUCCUCUAACCUCGAUCUCCCUCGCUCACGCUGCACCUAGGCCAUGGCGGUGCGAGGGAGCCGAUUCUUGCAAGGUGAUUUGACGCGACACACUCCUGCCGAGGCGCGCGAGAGGAUCCAACGGACAUGCAGGAUGUGGGUGAAUCGAGGGGCUGGUCGAUCCAGCCGAUGUGGGAGAUCCAUGUGCGAAACAUACAUGGUUUACACAUAGUUUGCUGCUUCAGCUUUAUGAUUCUUUAUUAGUGCUGUUCUUACUCGUCUGAAUUGAUGCAGGUGUUCUAGGUUGACGGAUUGGAGCUAGGGUCGAUGGAUUAGUUCUCAUUUAAUUACUACAAAGUAGCAUUCAUCCUCCUAGGUGUUUGAUGUUUUCCUCGUGCACAUCUAAUUUUUGUCAGUUGUCAGGAGCACAAUUUUUGGUUCUCUUGAUAAUCAACUAACACUAGCAGCAAGGCAGUGCAAUUUUGUAGUUUCGGAUCAAUUAGACUAUUAAUCCAUGAAAUUCGAUAUGGUUAGAUGACAUUGAAUUAGAAUGUUCUUAUCAAUCUUGGUGUUGCAUCUACGACUUCACCAUAAUUAUUUUGUUGUCUCUCUUCAAUUGUAUUUGUUGAUCGCUAUGACUUUGUUGAAGGAAACAUGAAAGCAUGUGCCUUUCCUGAAUGUCUCCAUUAGACUAGAAUAGUCGACAAUCUUAUAGGAAGCAAUAGCAGCAAAUGUUCAGUUAGAAGAAAUACGAGAAGUAAGAAGGAGAAGAAAGAGUAGCAUGUACUUGAAUACUUGUAACCAAACAAACAAAUUGAUGUACUUGUCAAUAAGAAACUUGGUGGAACAUCAAUGCUUGCUCAGCUACAUCAACAAUGAAAGUCACAAUUCUCUUAUACGCUUCACUAAGCAUGUAAUAAACAUGUGAUGUAUUGUUUGAUGAGGGUCGCACACGUUCUAUGUUGUGGGCAUACCGAUAACCUACCCGCUAGACUUCAUGCUGCACGUCGGCGUGGUGGUACUUCUCCUCGAUUUAUUUCACAACUUUUUACCUCUUCGUGGUUUGAUAACAUGCUAAUGGUGUGAAAAUUAUCUGGAUGUGCGGGGCCUUUGGAUGGGAAUCAUAUUUGGUAUUAUGGUGUAGGUCCUGUUGUUCUUGGCCAUCACACUACACACUAACUGGCAGAAUAAGGUAUAUGCUCAAAGGUUGUAGUUUCACUAGGCCAUUUCCGGUUUAUCAGAUUAGGAUCAUGCAUGUAAGUAUAAAAUAAAUCACGCUCUCUCAAUUGAAUAUAUGUAUGUAUAGCAAAAUGAAGGAAUGUAUAGGGGCUACUGAUGUAGCCAACAUAUGCUUAGUAUGAAGGAAAGUGUGCGGGUGUACAAAAUAAACAUACCCUCCCUCAACUCCCAUGCUUUUUUUCUCUACAUGCAACACAUGAUCCCUUGCAUGCGCUUUUCACAAUGCUUUGUUACUAUGAAUAAAAUAUACUCUUGUUAAUUUCUACUUACUACUAGUUAACUAUAUAAACCGAAUGCCCAUCUCGUUGUAGUGAAUGGGGAAAAAUUGUGCCAAAGCCACCUUGUAAUUACUUGAAUUUUGGAAAAGAGAGAUAUAAAAAAGACACUAUUCUCACCCAUAUAGGAAAGAUACUAAUAUAAUAAUUUGUUAAUUCUUGUAUGAGAAGGUCUCUUUCCUGUACUUGUUUUUUCUUUGACGGAAAUCAAUAGGAAUUGUUUCCUACACGUUCAUGUGUUGGACUUCAUUUUUUCAGGAUCUUGGUAUAUUGUGUUGAUCGAGAAGGAUUGCAUGUUACGUAAUGUACUCAUAUGCAAAUAAACUCACUGUCAUACAUGUCCACAUGGCUGAUUAGGUAUGUUUAUUACAUAAAUGUGACAACUGUGUUUUGUUAGUUUAAUGAGGUCCAGUGUAUUAAGGGCAUGGUUUUUAUGAUUAUUGUGGGAAUUUCGUCUAUAUAUCUGGUAAUAUACUAAAUUGUAGGCAUGGUUUUAUUGUAAGUUGUGUGCAGAUCGUCCCAACAAUUUCUCAUAGUAGACAUCUGGUAAUAUAUGUAUUACCCGAUCUAGCUCCCAGAUUCCUAACUAGAGUGCAUCUCCUAUCGAGGAAAACGGGAGCAUGUGCAAGUGCACUUUACAAGAGCAUAUAUGUUAUUCUGUUUAUUUGAUGGUUGAGGAAUUUCAAAUGCAAAUAUCUAAAAUUACAGUAAGAACAUUAUUCCUAAUGCUUUAGAACAGAUUUGAUUGCUUUAUCAAUGAGUGCAUAAAUUUUUAUAGUAGGUCAUAUGAUAUGCUAGGUGCUAGCCGGACUUUGGUCGAUAUUCGUUCUGAUAUGGUUAUCUUUGUAACAUGUUUGGUGCACAUCUACUUUUUAGAUCUUUGGGACCAUGGCUUCUCACAAAUUCUCAUAUUCUAAGAUUGCUCAAACAUAUGAGUUUUUUGCACGGACAAAUGAAAGAAAAUAGCGAGUCCAAGUUGAUCUAAGAUGUUCCGGUGAUCGCUUUUGUUCAUAACAUGGUUGACACAUUUUUUAAUAUGGAAGUUGAUGUCAGCUUGGGGAUCAAAGACUUGGUCUCUUCCAUAAUUUUGUUGUUGUAGUGAUCAAACAUUUGGUCUCAUAGGAACUUGACCAUCAUAUUUUGUAAGAGGCCACAGCCUCAAUGUUGACUUCUAUAUUUCCUUAAUGGCUGUAAGUAACUUGAGUGAAGAGAACUAAAAAAUCUUCUAUAUAUGUUGACUGAAUGCAUUGAUCAAUAAUAUCUUGUGAUUGGGUACUUAACCUGAAAUGGAUGUAUUGAUCAGUGGUAUCUUGUGAUGGAUAGAAAAGUGCAAAUGUUUGUAUACGUAUUGUGAAUUGAACAUGAA